UGGCGGACGGGUGAGUAACGCGUGGGUAACCUGCCUCACACAGGGGGAUAACAGUUGGAAAAGGCUGCUAAUACCGCAUAAGCGCACAGGACCGCAUGGUCUAGUGUGAAAAACUCCGGUGGUGUGAGAUGGACCCGCGUUUGAUUAGCUGGUUGGUGGGGUAACGGCCUACCAAGGCGACGAUCAAUAGCCGACCUGAGAGGGUGACCGGCCACAUUGGGACUGAGACACGGCCCAAACUCCUACGGGAGGCAGCAUG
rnacentral:rRNA from 1 species